GCCGGGGUGGCGAAACUGGCAGACGCACGGGACUUAAAAUCCCGGGUCUCGUAAGAGGCGUGUGGGUUCGAUUCCCACCCCCGGCACCA
rnacentral:tRNA from 1 species